rnacentral:rRNA from 1 species
AUUGAACGCUGGCGGCAGGCCUAACACAUGCAAGUCGAACGAGUGGCGGACGGGUGAGUAAUGUCUGGGACACUGCCUGAUGGAGGGGGUUAAUUACUGGAAACGGUAGCUAAUACGGCAUACCAUCCGAUGUUCCCAGAUGGGAUUAGCUUGUUGGUGGGGGAACGGCUCACCAAGGCGACGAUCCCUAGCUGGUCUGAGAGGGUGACCGGCCACACGGGAACUGAGACACGGUCCAGACUCCUACGGGAGGCAGCAGUGGGGAAUAUUGCACAAUGGGCGAAAGCCUGAGACAGCCAUGCCGCGUGGAUGAAGAAGGCCUUCGGGUUGUAAAGUACUUUCAGCGGGGAGGCGUUACCUGCAGAAGAAGCACCGGCUAACUCCGUGCCAGCAGCCGCGGUAAUAC